rnacentral:rRNA from 1 species
ACCCCUACGGGACGCAGCAGUGAGGAAUAUUGGUCAAUGGGCGCGAGCCUGAACCAGCCAAGUAGCGUGAAGGAUGACUGCCCUACGGGUUGUAAACUUCUUUUAUAAAGGAAUAAAGAGAGGCACGUGUGACUUUUUGUAUGUAAUUUAUGAAUAAGGAUCGGCUAACUCCGUGUCAGCAGCCGCGGUAAUACGGAGGAUCCGAGCGUUAUCCGGAUUUAUUGGGUUUAAAGGGAGCGUAGAUGGGUUGUUA